AAAUGACAAACUAUGUGAACGUAAAUAAGAUAAGUGAUUAUUAAUAU
rnacentral:guide_RNA from 1 species